AUUGAACGAUGGCGGCAGGCCUAACACAUGCAAGUCGAGCGAGCGGCGGACGGGUGAGUAAUGUAUGGGGACUGCCCGAUAGAGGGGGAUAACUACUGGAAACGGUAGAUAAUACCGCAUACUAUAGGAUACCCCAUAUGGGAUUAGCUAGUAGGUGAGGUAAUGGAUCACCUAGGCGACGAUCCCGAGCUGGUCUUCGAGGAUGAUAAGCCACACUGUGACGGAGACACGGCCCAGACUCCGACGGAGGCAGCAGGGGGGAAUAUUGCACAAUGGGCGCAAGCCUGAUGCAGCGAUGCCGCGUGUGUGAAGAAGGCCCUAGGGUUGUAAAGUACUUUCAGUCGGGAGGCGUUACCGACAGAAGAAGCACCGGCUAACUCCGUGCCAGCAGCCGCGGUAAUUC
rnacentral:rRNA from 1 species